AGGGGUGUAGCUCAAUUGGUAGAGCACUGGUCUCCAAAACCAGCGGUUGCAGGUUCGAGUCCUGUCGCCCCUGCCA
rnacentral:tRNA from 3 species